GAAGGUUGGAAAGGCCCUUCCAGCUUGGGCUUUUGCUGGUUUAAAAUGGAUUCCUGAGCCAGCCUCCCUGUCCGUGGACAGAACCGAAGCUACCCUCUGCCCUGCCUCUCUGCCCCCCAUGGUAUGAGUCUCUGUCUCAUCUGCCCCCAGAUCCCAGACACAGCCCUGGAGCCAAAAGAAGUGCAUCUGAGAAAAGUUGGAAGCCAGGGGCAGUGCUCAGGCAGUGUGGAGGCUGUGCCCAGAGCCAGCAGGGGACACAGUCACAGCCUCACUCUGCAGCACAAGAGAUUGAGCCUCAGCUGGAAUCCAGGGCUGGGUACCGAGCCAUACUGGCCCAGUGGGCCCCCUCCUGGGAUCGCAGGACUUGGAGCAGAAGAGUCCCUCCAGGGCUGAAGACUGGACACAGAAAACUCGGGAACUCUCAGCUGUCCUGUUUUUCACCUCGUGGAAUAAGCUGGACUUCAAUGAGAGCGAAUGGAGCUGACAAUUCCCAGAA